rnacentral:lncRNA from 1 species
AAAAACGAUCAAAGAUAAUUCAAAAGAAAAUACGACAAAAGGAAAAAGAAUGCCCAAAUCAGCAGGCUCCUGGAGGAACAGUUCCAGCAGGGCGAGCUUCUUGCCUGUAUUGCCUCAAGACCAAGCCAGUGUGGCAGAGCAGACGGCUGUGUGCUUGAAGGCAAGGGGCUGGAGUUCUAUCUGCGGAAGAUUAAAGCCCAGAAAGGCAAAUGA